rnacentral:SRP_RNA from 1 species
CUGCGCUAGGUGGGGAGUUAGCGGUGCCCUGUAUCUGCAAUCCGCUAUAGCAGAACUGAACGCCCCUCUCGACGUAAAAGAUGGAAGGCUGCGCGUUAUAAGGAACGUUGAUAACAAGGUCUUAUGCAACUUACGGCUGCGAACCGUGUCAGGAUAGGAAUAUAGCAGCACUAAACAGUUUUGUAGGUGUGCCAUAAGGUUGCUUUGCAGGAGUCACCUGUAACGUUUACGCUUCGGUUUUUUACGGCAAAAGGGGAUGCGCAG